AUCGGUAUCAUCUAUCUUAGGUUCGAUUUGGAACUAUGGAAUGACUCUUUUUUAUGGUUUGGUUGUUCUUAAUCUGAUAAUACUCAUUAUAUACUGUACACAUUUUUGUAUAUAAUAUUAGUUUUGUUUAUGUAUAUUAGCUUCAUAUUAGUUAUGUUUAUGUAUAUUUGUUUAUGACCUUAAUAGUAAGUCACUCGAUUCAAUCUCAUAAACCCUAAAUCAUAUUAUUGAUGAUCAGUUCCCCCAAAACUCCAUUGUUGGCUAACCCUACCUCUUCUUCAUCAUCAUCUUUGUAGAAUUGAUCUCUAGAUAAGACUAAUGAAUUGUGGUUGUUUAGUUUGAUUCAACUCAAAUUAUCCAUUUCUGUAACCCACCUUACAAAAUUUGUACUAAGUGGAUCUUAAUUUGAAGAGGAUUACUGCAUUUUUAACAGGGAAUUAUCGGCAUGAGGUAGCUUCUUCUAUCUUUUUUAUCGUUAAUUACUCUAGUUAGUGUAGAUUUUGUUAAUUUGAUUUAGGUUUUUCUUUGCAAUGGUAAUCUUAAUUCAUUCACAUGUGAAAAUAACCUGUUAAAUCUUUCUGAUUCUGCUCAUGUUAGAUCGAUAGUUGAAUUUAGGUGAUUGAGGUACUGUUAUUAAUUUCAAAUGUGUGAAAGUUGUUUAGUGGAUGAAGUGUGAAACCUUAAAAGGUACUUUAUCAUCAUCAUCAUCAUCAUCAUCAUCAUCUAUAAUUGGUAUAUUAUGUACAUUUACAAAUUGUAGGUGGUGUGAUUAUUUUUUCCUUUGAUUGGAUCUGGUACUAACAUCUUGGUUCUCAGAUAAAUUCUCCAAUUCAGCUUCAACAGAGGAGCCAGAGUUUUGUCAAAGAAAGUGCUAGCAAGUCUUUGUACUUUUUGUAUGGUAAAAAACAAACGAAGGCAACAUGUUUGAGUUAUAGAUUUUUUUUCACUGAAAACUUGUUUAUUCUUAUUUCCAGCUUGGUCCAAGGGACUCUCUAAUACGGUGCUUUAUAAAGCAUAACCUAAGAUCGUUGUGGAUCCUAUUCUAUAUGUGGCAGAUCAUUGUGGUAUUUAGGUCAGCAAUUCCUGUUGUGCUCCUUACUGCCUGAAACACGACAUUUAGCCUGAUGGCGAACUGCCAAGUGACAAGACUGUUGAGGGCUUUCAACACAUUUUUUAGUGAAACAUGUGUUGGAAAACACGUUUCACAUGCCAUUUUCGUUGACCUUGAGCCCACUGUCACCGAUGAAGUGAGAACUGGUUCAUACCGCCAACUGUUUUUCUCGGAGCAGCUCAUGUGCGGGAAGGAAGAUGCUGAAAACAACUUUGCACGAGGCCACUAUACCAAUUUUGAACAACGCAAGAGAGAUCACACAAGCAGAAAUCAACGAAGAUGGUUGAAAACGUCAUGCAUCGGUUUUUUAGUUCGGUAUUUAGUGAUGAUAGGUAGCCAUAGAUUUAAUUUAGUUUUUUUUUUAACAAGAUGU